CUUGGCCAUCGUUUGCCGGGUACACCUCUCACCGACGGGCGCCAGUCAGCAACGCAGAGCUGCGCUGCAUGAGCACACCGUGUGGCUUGGCACGCCGCUCACCCGAACCUGCCUGCUCGUACCACAGACUGGAUGGUUUGAACAACAGGAACUUAAUCUUCUCAUACUUAUGGAGCUAGAAGUCCAAAAUAAAAGCAUCCACAAGAAAAAUGCACUUUGAACAAAGAGGAUUGCAGUGACUCUACCAGGGGUGAAAGUGGAGAGGCACUCCGGAAAAGUUUUCUAGAGAAGACAAAGCUUACAGCAACUCCUGAAAAAAGAUUUUAUGAUGGUAAAUGGAAAGCCCUACACUGAAGCCAGAGAAGGGUGAAGAAGUUGGAUUGGAAACAUGAUUCUGCCACCGUCAUAUAUCCAAAACAGAAAUGAAGUAAUGGAACCCAUCUGGCCACACAAGAAGUUUUAAAUCUCCAAAGAAAAUGGAAAAAUAUUAGUUGGCAAGUGCAAUGUUUUACCCAGUCCUGAAGCUUCAAUUCAGGAAACAAAGAAGACGCAGCCAUUUAAAAUGGUGCUUUGUGUCAGUAAGUUUAUUAAAUGGGAAGACUGGCAAUCUUGGGUAAAAGUAGACUGUCCAUCCAAUUAAAUUACAGAAUAUUAAAA